CCUACGGGAGGCAGCAGUGAGGAAUAUUGGUCAAUGGACGAGAGUCUGAACCAGCCAAGUAGCGUGAAGGAUGACUGCCCGAUGGGUUGUAAACUUCUUUUAUAUGGGAAUAAAAUGUUCCACGUGUGGGUUUUUGUAUGUACCAUAUGAAUAAGGAUCGGCUAACUCCGUGCCAGCAGCCGCGGUAAUACGGAGGAUCCGAGCGUUAUCCGGAUUUAUUGGGUUUAAAGGGAUCGUAGGUGGAUUGUUAAGUCAGUUGUGAAAGUUUGCGGCUCAACCGUAAAAUUGCAGUUGAAACUGGCAGUCUUGAGUACAGUAGAGGUGGGCGGAAUUCGUGGUGUAGCGGUGAAAUGCUUAGAUAUCACGAAGAACUCCGAUUGCGAAGGCAGCUCACUGGACUGCAACUGACACUGAGGCUCGAAAGUGUGGGUAUCAAACAGGAUUAGAUACCCGGGUAGUC
rnacentral:rRNA from 1 species